AUGCGGAUUAUAUCCAUACACGAUACUGAGUAUUCUUUCCCCUUCUCGAGCCCUAUCAUAAUAUCACAAUUAUCGUCAACAAUAACGGAACUAAAGUUACGUCAUCGUCGCCGUCAUUUUCACCGUGACCGCCUUUGCCACCGUAGUCGAAGGUUGGAUCAAUCCCACACUCUUCCUCGGCAGCAACCACCUCCGCCCGCGUCUACUCAUCGCCGCGAUUACGUUCCGCUAAACCUCCGUAACCGUCCCCGGAUUCAAAGUUGA